UGAGGAUUUUGCUUUUUGAUUAUUUCUAUCUUUUACAGGGUUGUCCCAUUAUCAUGACCCAAUUCACCAGUUUCAAUGAUUUACCUACUUUAUGAUUUUCAUCAUUCUUUU